UGCAAAGGUAGCGCAAUCACUUGCCCCUUAAAUGAGGGCUAGUAUGAACGGUUUAAUGAGGGCCUAACUGUCUCCUGCAGCCGGUCAAUGAAAUUGAUAACCCAGUACAAACGCUGAAAUAAACCCACAAGACGAGAAGACCCUGUGGAACUUUCAACUUCCCUGCUAGCAGUCACCAAUAACCAUACCAACCCUAACAGCCAGUUUAAGUUGGGGCAACUACGGAGAAUAACAAAACCUCCAUGACAUACAAGUAAUACUUGUCACCAAGGCCUACACGCCUACUCACCAACGUUUGAUCCAGUAAUACUGAUUUCCGGACCAAGCUACCCCAGGGAUAACAGCGCUAUCCCCUUCAAGAGUCCCUAUCGCCAAGGGGGUUUACGACCUCGAUGUUGGAUCAGGACACCCCGGCGGUGCAGCCGCUGCCAAAGGUUCGUUUGUUCAACGAAUAACGUCCU
rnacentral:rRNA from 1 species